rnacentral:rRNA from 1 species
AUGAAGGCCUUCGGGUUGUAAACCCCUUUCGGCCGGGACGAUAAUGACGGUACCCGUAGAAGAAGCCCCGGCUAACUUCGUGCCAGCAGCCGCGGUAAUACGAAGGGGGCAAGCGUUGUUCGGAAUUAUUGGGCGUAAAGGGUGCGUAGGCGGUUCUGUAAGUCUGGUGUGAAAUCUCCGGGCUCAACUCGGAGUCUGCCCGGGAAACUGCCGGGCUUGAGUGUGGGAGAGGUGAGUGGAAUUCCGGGUGUAGCGGUGAAAUGCGUAUAUAUCUGGAGGAACACCUGUGGCGAAAGCGGCUCACUGGACCAUUACUGACGCUGAUGCACGAAAGCUUGGGGAGCAAACAGGAUUAGAUACCCUGGUAGUCCACGCCCUAAACGAUGAAUGCUUGGUGUGA